GGUCUGGUGGUGUAGCGGUAAACACGUCUGCUUACGUUGAAAUAGUACGUAAGGAGUUUCGCAGAGGGUUCCUUGUUCGAAUCAAGGUCGGGCGG